rnacentral:rRNA from 1 species
CGAGUUUGAUCCUGGCUCAGAACGAACGCUGGCGGCAGGCUUAACACAUGCAAGUCGAACGCCCGUAGCAAUACGGGAGUGGCGGACGGGUGAGUAACGCGUGGGAACGUGCCCUGAGGUACGGAAUAACUGCGGGAAACUGCAGCUAAUACCGUAUGAGCCCCGCAAGGGGGAAAGAUUUAUCGCCUUGGGAGCGGCCCGCGUCGGAUUAGCUAGUUGGUGGGGUAACGGCCUACCAAGGCUUCGAUCCGUAGCUGGUCUGAGAGGACGAUCAGCCACACUGGGACUGAGACACGGCCCAGACUCCUACGGGAGGCAGCAGUGGGGAAUCUUGCGCAAUGGGGGCAACCCUGACGCAGCCAUGCCGCGUGAAUGAUGAAGGCCUUAGGGUUGUAAAGUUCUUUUGCCCGUGACGAUGAUGACGGUAACGGGAGAAUAAGCUCCGGCUAACUUCGUG